AGUGAACGCUGGCGGUAGGCCUAACACAUGCAAGUCGAACGGCAGCACAGUAAGAGCUUGCUCUUACGGGUGGCGAGUGGCGGACGGGUGAGGAAUACAUCGGAAUCUACUUUUUCGUGGGGGAUAACGUAGGGAAACUUACGCUAAUACCGCAUACGACCUACGGGUGAAAGCAGGGGAUCUUCGGACCUUGCGCGAUUGAAUGAGCCGAUGUCGGAUUAGCUAGUUGGCGGGGUAAAGGCCCACCAAGGCGACGAUCCGUAGCUGGUCUGAGAGGAUGAUCAGCCACACUGGAACUGAGACACGGUCCAGACUCCUACGGGAGGCAGCAGUGGGGAAUAUUGGACAAUGGGCGCAAGCCUGAUCCAGCCAUACCGCGUGGGUGAAGAAGGCCUCCGGGUUGUAAAGCCCUUUUGUUGGGAAAGAAAAGCAGCAGGUUAAUACCCCGCUAUUCUGACGGUACCCAAAGAAUAAGCACCGGCUAACUUCGUG
rnacentral:rRNA from 1 species